UCCUACGGGAGGCAGCAGUGGGGAAUAUUGGACAAUGGGGGCAACCCUGAUCCAGCCAUGCCGCGUGUGUGAAGAAGGCCCUCGGGUUGUAAAGCACUUUCAGCGAGGAAGAACGCCUAGCGGUUAAUACCCGCUAGGAUAGACAUCACUCGCAGAAGAAGCACCGGCUAACUCCGUGCCAGCAGCCGCGGUAAUACGGAGGGUGCAAGCGUUAAUCGGAAUUACUGGGCGUAAAGCGCGCGUAGGUGGCUUGAUAAGCCGGUUGUGAAAGCCCCGGGCUCAACCUGGGAACGGCAUCCGGAACUGUCAAGCUAGAGUGCAGGAGAGGAAGGUAGAAUUCCCGGUGUAGCGGUGAAAUGCGUAGAGAUCGGGAGGAAUACCAGUGGCGAAGGCGGCCUUCUGGACUGACACUGACACUGAGGUGCGAAAGCGUGGGUAGCAAACAGGAUUAGAUACCCUGGUAGUCCACGCCGUAAACGAUGUCGACCAGCCGUUGGGUGCCUAGCGCACUUUGUGGCGAAGUUAACGCGAUAAGUCGACCGCCUGGGGAGUACGGCCGCAAGGUUAAAACUCAAAUGAAUUGACGG
rnacentral:rRNA from 1 species